UAAAAACUUCGCAUCAGGCUGUCAGUGGAGUUCACAGCUCGUCACUUUCAACAUAAACCAUGUUUUCUGUAGCUCUGCUGCUGCUGUUGGCAGCUGGAUGUGUGAAGUGUGAACAGUUGACACAGCCAGCCUCUGUGACUGUGCAGCCAGGACAGCGUCUGACCAUCACCUGUCAGGUCUCUUAUGCUCUUAGCGGCUACUACACUGCUUGGAUCAGACAGCCUGCAGGGAAAGGACUGGAGUGGAUUGGAAUGAGAUAUACUGGAGCUGCAUAUUACAAAGAUUCACUAAAGAACAAGUUCAGCAUUGACUUAGACACUUCCAGCAAAACAGUGACUCUAAACGGACAGAAUGUGCAGCCUGAAGACACUGCUGUGUAUUACUGUGCCAGAUAUAACAACGAUGCUUUUGACUACUGGGGAAAAGGCACAAUGGUCACAGUUACAUCAGCCACUCCAUCUGGACCAACUGUGUUUCCUCUGUCGCAAUGUGGUUCUGGGACAGACAACACGAUCACUCUUGCCUGUUAUGCCACCGGCUUCACACCCGCCUCACUGACCUAUGCAUGGACCAAAGAGGGGACUGCCUGGACAAACUCUAUUCAGUACCCUCCUGUACAGAAAGACAGCCUUUAUUCUGGAAUCAGUCAAAUCCAAGUGAGCAAACAGGACUGGGAUGCAAGGAAGCCUUUCCAAUGUGUCGUGACACAUGCAGCAGGAAGUGGAGUCUGUUAUUUUCCUCCCAUUAUAGAAGUGGUUUAUCAAUUGCCAACUCUUAGUGUGUUGGCCUCCUCCUCUGAUAACAAAAGCGAGGCUUCCUUCUCCUGCUUUGCUAAAGAUUUUUCACCAAAAGAUCACAAACUGACAUGGCUGAAAGAUAAUGAGGACAUCACCAACAAAAUAUACGAGAUCACAACACCUGUUGUGGAAAGAACGGAUGAGAGCGGAAAUACUGUAUACAGUGUGGCAAGUUUUCUCAGUGUACUGUCUGAUGGCUUGAGUCAGGGCACUCAGUUUACAUGUCUGUUUGAGGGGAAAGGUGAAGGCGGCAUUAAAACAUAUGUGAAUGAAUCUGUGAGCUACGGUUGUCCAAACACACCCCAAUGUCCUGGAGGAGAUUCGGACAUAACUAUCAUUGGCCCUGCAAAUGAGGACAUGUUUAUGAGCGGAAAAGGAAAGAUAGUAUGUCAAGUCCUGGAAAACAAACCAUCUGUUCUGAGUGUUUUGUGGCAGGACGAGAAUGGACACACCUUGAUUGAGUACUCAAAGUCCACCGAUAAUGGAAAAAAAGUAAUAAAUCUUGCACUUGACAUCACAUAUGAUGAAUGGAACCAGGGGAUCAAGCGCUACUGUGUUGUUGAACACUCAGAGUGGCUUGAGCCAGUCAAGAAAAUCUAUGAAAGGAGUAUUGGACAGACUCAGCGUCCUUCAGUGUUUAUGAUGCCUCCAGUAGAACAUACUAGAAAAGAAAUGGUGACCCUGACUUGCUUUGUGAAAGACUUCUUCCCUCAGGAAGUUUAUGUGUCUUGGCUUGUUGAUGAUGAAGAAGUAGAUUCAACUUACGAGUUCCAUACCACAAACGCUGUCGAAAGCUACGGAUCCUAUUCUGCUUAUAGCCAGUUAUUACUCAGCCUUCAGCAGUGGAAAAGGAAUGAUGUGGUGUAUAGCUGUGUAGUUCACCACGAGUCUGUGGAUAACACAACUAAAGCUAUUGUCAGGUCUAUUGGAUACAGAACAUUUGAGAAAAACACCAACCUGGUCAACCUCAACAUGAACGUCCCUAACACGUGCAAGCCCCAGUAGAUGUUUUUUGUGUUGUUGUGUCUUCUGCUGUUUGAUGUUUAAUGUUUGUUGCUUGUGAUAUGACAUUGUGUUUGUCUUUUUCAUGCAGAUUUAAAAUCAAAAUAAAAAAAAAAGCACUUUGCAA